rnacentral:tRNA from 1 species
GGAGUUGUAGCUUAGCGGUAGAGCGCAUGCCUAGCACACAUGAAACACUGGGUUCGAACCUCAGCACCA